rnacentral:rRNA from 1 species
CCCGCACAAGCGGUGGAGCAUGUGGUUUAAUUCGAAAGCAACGCGAAGAACCUUACCAGGUCUUGACAUCCCGAUGCUAUUUCUAGAGAUAGAAAGUUACUUCGGUACAUCGGUGACAGGUGGUGCAUGGUUGUCGUCAGCUCGUGUCGUGAGAUGUUGGGUUAAGUCCCGCAACGAGCGCAACCCCUAUUGUUAGUUGCCAUCAUUCGGUUGGGCACUCUAGCGAGACUGCCGGUAAUAAACCGGAGGAAGUGGGGAUGACGUCAAAUCAUCAUGCCCCUUAUGACCUGGGCUACACACGUGCUACAAUGGUUGGUACAACGAGUUGCGAGUCGGUGACGGCGAGCUAAUCUCUUAAAGCCAAUCUCAGUUCGGAUUGUAGGCUGCAACUCGCCUACAUGAAGUCGGAAUCGCUAGUAAUCGCGGAUCAGCACGCCGCGGUGAAUACGUUCCCGGGCCUU